UUACUAUCUUUAAAAUUUUUCCCCAGAAAAUUUUGUUCAUUUGUCCAGAGGAUAACUUUGUUGGGAGGUGGUUUUGCAGAGAGACAGAUAUUUCUAAUUUGAAUAAAAUUAAAUCUAUUUUCAAGGAAAACCUUUUGACUUUGGAAUUGAAUCCUGCUGUGUGCGUGGCUAUAGUUUGGGGCUGUUUAGAACAGAGCGGAUCUCAGGUGUUAGCUUCCCAAAGCCUGGCUGACCUUCAGGUUCUCCUGUUCGUACAGCCGCGGCAGUGACCUGCAGGUAACCUGGAGGGGCUGAGGAACCAGCGUGUUCUCUGCCCUGUUUGGGAGCAGACAAGCAGUAGCAGGCAGGGUAGUGAGCAGGUCACAGCUUUGAUUUUCGUGUCCUCUAGUUUUAUCUGCUCAUUUUCAUGUCUGAAGUUGUUUCAGGGCACAUGUCUCCUAUUCUGUGCCAGCAGCAACAAUAAAAUAUAGACUGAAGUGGCUCAAACAUCAGAAACUUCUUUUCUUAUAGUUCUGGAGGCUAGAAGCCCAAGAUCAAGGUUCCAGCCAAUUCAUUUUUCUGGUAAAGUGCUCUUUCUUUCCUGGCUCACAGACAGCCACCUUCUGCUGUGUGCUCCCAUGGCCUUCAUCAGAGCAGGCACAGAGAGAGAAAGAACUAGCUCUCUGGUGUCUCUUCUUAUAAGGGCACUAAUCUUAUCAGAUUAGGGCCCCACCCUUACAAUGUCAUUGAACCUUAAUUAAACCUUCCUUUGAGCUCCCAUCUCCACAGAGGCACACUGUGGGGUAAGAGCUUCCACAUAUGAAAUUUGGAGGUACACAAACAUUCAGUCUAUAACAGGGCAAACAUAGUCUAAAAGGGCCAUUUUCAGCAGAAAAAUCACCCAAAUUGGAGCUAAAAGGACCUAUUACAGCUAAAGGAGCAGACUUAGGAAGGUCUGGUACCUUAGCAGUAUUCCCCCUAAUAUGCUUCCUGGUCAAACAGUUGGGCUGAUUAGAGACGUCAGCUUUCUGAAAACCAAAGAGAACUCUAAAGUUCUGUCAUCAUCUGAACCAGCCCAGGCACUCCACCCUCCCCUCCAUCAGCAGUAACAAAGUUACAUCCAAUUACUGUCUUUGGAGAUUUUUCAAACCUUUUAUCUAAAAGGUUUUAUGAAAAAAUAUAUAUAGGAGACUAACGUGAGGAUAUUUUCUUUUUAAACUAAGGAAAUAUUUUGUUUUCAUUGUAAAACUGACCCAUAGCCCAAAAAGAACGUUGGGAAAACAUAAAACAGUACCAAGAGAGAAAAAUGGGAAGGUGCUCACUAAAAAACUUCUAUCAGUAAAAUUGAGGAGGAGAAUUAAAAAGUGCUAAAGAAUUUCUUCUCACUGAAAAUGUGGAAUAGGUGUUUUGAAAUAUCUUGGUCUCCAAACUUGAGGAAGUAAUGUUUUUUAAAAUGAGUCAACACUGAUGUAAUGUGAUUCUGACCUAAAGUAAGAGAUAAUUUGUUGGUCCACUGAAUUGUAAGGUUCAUCUUUUUGAGUUAAAAUAUUCCUCACACCUCUGUCCAAUAUCAGCUCUCAUUUUCUGAGCACUUGUUUCAUACAUCUCAUUUUAUCCCCCAAACUUCCCUGCGAGUUAAAUACCAAUAUUGUCCCAACUUUGCAAAUGGGGAGACUGAUCAUUUAGAAGACAGAGUAACUAUCUGAGGUCACACAUCUUGUACCAUAUGUGGCAGAACUGGUAUUGGAACCACUGAUUCCCGUGGUAAAGCUCUCCCCAGCUCUGCAGUGCUCAGUGCUCACAGAGAUGCUGAGGUGAAGAUCUCUGCAAAGGACCUGGAGAAAGUGUGUGGGUGUGCACGUGUGCCUGCAGGUGUGUGCCUUGACUUUCCCCAAUCUGGUUCCAUGCUUCUGUGUUACAAAGAAAAUUACAAUAAAAUGAAGGUCACUACCAGGAGGCUGCACUGAA